rnacentral:misc_RNA from 1 species
AAUUCUCAACCAAUGUCUUGAUUGAUGUUGGCUUGGAGUUGGGAGUUGCUGGCAAUCUCUUUUGUCAGCUCUCCUGAAAUGUAUUAGCAAUCGGAUAGCUAGUCUUUGAUGUGCACGGCCUUCGACGUGAUAAUGAUCGUCGUGGCUGGAGCGUCUUUGAACCGUGCAUGAAUAGCCUAUUGCUUAUAAUAACCAAAUUCAAAUUGGACUUGUAAAC